UACGAAGGGGGCUAGCGUUGCUCGGAAUCACUGGGCGUAAAGCGCACGUAGGCGGAUUGUUAAGUCAGGGGUGAAAUCCUGGAGCUCAACUCCAGAACUGCCUUUGAUACUGGCGAUCUCGAGUCCGGGAGAGGUGAGUGGAACUGCGAGUGUAGAGGUGAAAUUCGUAGAUAUUCGCAAGAACACCAGUGGCGAAGGCGGCUCACUGGCCGGUAUUGACGCUGAGGUGCGAAAGCGUGGGGAGCAAACAGGG
rnacentral:rRNA from 1 species